rnacentral:rRNA from 1 species
AGUCGAACGAUGAAGCUUCUAGCUUGCUAGAAGUGGAUUAGUGGCGCACGGGUGAGUAAGGUAUAGUUAAUCUGCCCUACACAAGAGGACAACAGUUGGAAACGACUGCUAAUACUCUAUACCCCUGCUUAACACAAGUUGAGUAGGGAAAGUUUUUCGGUGUAGGAUGAGACUAUAUAGUAUCAGCUAGUUGGUAAGGUAAUGGCUUACCAAGGCUAUGACGCUUAACUGGUCUGAGAGGAUGAUCAGUCACACUGGAACUGAGACACGGUCCAGACUCCUACGGGAGGCAGCAGUAGGGAAUAUUGCGCAAUGGGGGAAACCCUGACGCAGCAACGCCGCGUGGAGGAUGACACUUUUCGGAGCGUAAACUCCUUUUCUUAGGGAAGAAUUCUGACGGUACCUAAGGAAUAAGCACCGGCUAACUCCGUGCCAGCAGCCGCGGUAAUACGGAGGGUGCAAGCGUUACUCGGAAUCACUGGGCGUAAAGGGCGCGUAGGCGGAUUAUCAAGUCUCUUGUGAAAUCUAAUGGCUUAACCAUUAAACUGCUUGGGAAACUGAUAGUCUAGAGUGAGGGAGAGGCAGAUGGAAUUGGUGGUGUAGGGGUAAAAUCCGUAGAUAUCACCAAGAAUACCCAUUGCGAAGGCGAUCUGCUGGAACUCAACUGACGCUAAGGCGCGAAAGCGUGGGGAGCAAACAGGAUUAGGUACCCUGGUAGUCCACGCCCUAAACGAUGUACACUAGUUGUUGGGAUGCUAGUCAUCUCAGUAAUGCAGCUAACGCAUUAAGUGUACCGCCUGGGGAGUACGGUCGCAAGAUUAAAACUCAAAGGAAUAGACGGGGACCCGCACAAGCGGUGGAGCAUGUGGUUUAAUUCGAAGAUACGCGAAGAACCUUACCUGGGCUUGAUAUCCUAAGAACCUUAUAGAGAUAUGAGGGUGCUAGCUUGCUAGAACUUAGAGACAGGUGCUGCACGGCUGUCGUCAGCUCGUGUCGUGAGAUGUUGGGUUAAGUCCCGCAACGAGCGCAACCCACGUAUUUAGUUGCUAACGGUUCGGCCGAGCACUCUAAAUAGACUGCCUUCGUAAGGAGGAGGAAGGUGUGGACGACGUCAAGUCAUCAUGGCCCUUAUGCCCAGGGCGACACACGUGCUACAAUGGCAUAUACAAUGAGACGCAAUACCGCGAGGUGGAGCAAAUCUAUAAAAUAUGUCCCAGUUCGGAUUGUUCUCUGCAACUCGAGAGCAUGAAGCCGGAAUCGCUAGUAAUCGUAGAUCAGCCAUGCUACGGUGAAUACGUUCCCGGGUCUUGUACUCACCGCCCGUCACACCAUGGGAGUUGAUUUCACUCGAAGCCGGAAUACUAA